rnacentral:rRNA from 1 species
AUACAGAGGGUGCAAGCGUUAAUCGGAAUUACUGGGCGUAAAGCUCGCGUAGGCGGCUAGGUAAGUCGGGUGUGAAAUCCCGGGGCUCAACCCCGGAACUGCACUCGAAACUGCCUGGCUAGAGUCUCGGAGAGGAAGGCGGAAUUCCCGGUGUAGAGGUGAAAUUCGUAGAUAUCGGGAGGAACACCAGUGGCGAAGGCGGCCUUCUGGACGAUGACUGACGCUGAGGUGCGAAAGCGUGGGGAACAAACAGGAUUAGAAACCCCAGUAGUCC